GUACCCUCAAGCUCUGCUUGGUGUUGGGUGUUUGUCCCGCCAUUUUUGCGUGUGGACUCGCCUUAAAGCGAUUGGCAGCCGGCAUAUUGGCCUUGGAGCGCAGCACAUUUUGCGCUUCUAGUCAAUGAUUGUUGGUAUCCAGCAAGUACAAAUUCUAAC
rnacentral:misc_RNA from 1 species